UACAGAGGUCUCAAGCGUUGUUCGGAUUCAUUGGGCGUAAAGGGUGCGUAGGUGGCGGGGUAAGUCAGGUGUGAAAUUUCGGAGCUUAACUCCGAAACUGCAUUUGAUACUGCCUUGCUUGAGGACUGGAGAGGAGACUGGAAUUCACGGUGUAGCAGUGAAAUGCGUAGAGAUCGUGAGGAAGACCAGUGGCGAAGGCGGGUCUCUGGACAGUUCCUGACACUGAG
rnacentral:rRNA from 1 species